rnacentral:rRNA from 1 species
UACGUAGGGGCGCAAGCGUUAUCCGGAAUUAUUGGGCGUAAAGAGCUCGUAGGCGGUUUGUCGCGUCUGCCGUGAAAGUCCGGGGCUCAACUCCGGAUCUGCUGGUGGGUACGGGCAGACUAGAGUGAUGUAGGGGGAGACUGGAAUUCCUGGUGUAGCGGUGAAAUGCGCAGAUAUCGAGGAGGAACACCGGUGGCGGAAGGCGGCAUCCUGGACCAACACUGACACUGAGGAAGCGAAAAGCCAGGGGAGGCAAAACGGG